GUCCACAGGCUCAUGUUGGAGCUGUCCUCAAUGGUUGUGCAUCGCUUCUGCUUCCUAUCCCAGCCACAGUAUGGGUCCCUUGCUCCCAGGCACUCGCUGCAUGUGGAAAGAGAGGAAGCUUGCUUUGUUGAUGGGAGCCUUCCAAAAUCUGAACAGUCAGAGCUAGCUGCUUUCACAUGAACAAUGCCUGCCUUGUGAAAGAUUUAGGCUUAGUGAGCUGCCUGUGAUAUCAUGGUCUCUUGGCUGUUUCCAAUAAAAGAUCCAGGAUCAUCUGAACUCAGCAUUCAAAGCACAGGCUGAUACAUCAAUCAAUGGCACUUGGGGAAUCUCAGUAACCUGGCAAUAACCCUAUUCAUGCUUUAUGCUAAUUAUCUUAAUUUUGGGUUC